rnacentral:ncRNA from 1 species
AAAGUGCCUUGGCUCUUUAUUUUUGUUUAUUUUUGUCUUUCAUGUAAGUUUUUUCGCGAGCGAAAAACUUUUUAAUAGAAAACGCUAUAGAGUGCAGUGAAUAAUUUUAUUAUUUCAGGAUUCUGAGAAAUAGCAAAUUUUAAAAGUGCAAACAAAAUUUGUGCCAGCAGUUGCGGUUAUACAGAUUGCGCAAUAAAAAGUUUUUGGAUAUGGUUAAUUUUUAUUUUGGGUGGAAAAAUAAAUUUAUUAAGUGAAAUUUUAAAUUUUAUUAGGGUUGGAUAAUAUUUUAUGAUGCCAGGAAAUUUUAAAUUUAAACUAGGAUUAGAUACCCUAUUAUUGAAAUGUAAAUUUGUGAUCCUUAUUAGUAGUUGUUAUUUUCUUGAAAAUAAAAAAGAAUGGCGGUACCUUAGUCUGUUCAGAGGAACCUGUCCUGUAAUUGAUAGCCCACGAUUAUAUAUACUUGGAUUAUUAGUUUAUAUAUCGCCGUGGUUGAGUAUCUUAUUAGAGUGAAUGCUUUUAAUUUUUAAAAAAAUUAUUUCAGGUCAAGAUGUAGUUUAUAUUUAAGUAGAGAUGGGUUACGGUUUUGUAGUUAGAUUUAGAAUUUUAAAUUUUAUUGAAAUUGGAUUUGAUAGUAAUUUUUUAUAUAAUUGGGGAAUGAUUUAAGCUCUAGGGUAUGCACAUAUCGCCCGUCGCUUUCGUAUAAAAUGAAAUAAGUCGUAACAAAGUAGAUGUACUGGAAAGUGCCUCUAGAAGACG